rnacentral:rRNA from 1 species
UACGUAGGGGGCAAGCGUUGUCCGGAUUUACUGGGCGUAAAGAGCGCGUAGGCGGAAGUUUAAGCGGUGCUUGAAAGCCUCCGGCUCAACCGGGGAGGGUGGUGCCGAACUGGACUUCUUGAGGGCGAUAGAGGAGAGUGGAAUUCCGGGUGUAGCGGUGAAAUGCGUAGAUAUCUGUAGGAACACCGGUGGCGAAGGCGGCAUCCUGGACCGGUAUUGACGCUGAGGCGCGAAAGCCAGGGGAGCAAACGGG